CUACGGGGGGCUGCAGUGAGGAAUAUUGCACAAUGGGGGGAACCCUGAUGCAGCAACGCCGCGUGGAGGAUGACGCAUUUCGGUGUGUAGACUCCUUUUAUAUGUCAAGAAAAUGACGGUAGCAUAUGAAUAAGCACCGGCUAACUACGUGCCAGCAGCCGCGGUAAUACGGAGGGUGCAAGCGUUACUCGGAAUCACUGGGCGUAAAGGACGCGUAGGCGGGUUGGAAAGUCAGGUGUGAAAUCCUACAGCUUAACUGUAGAACUGCACUUGAAACUUCUAAUCUAGAGUAUGGGAGGGGGAGAUGGAAUUAGUGGUGUAGGGGUAACAUCCGUAGAUAUCACUAGGAAUACCUAAAGCGAAGGCGAUCUCCUGGAACAUUACUGACGCUAAGGCGUGAAAGCGUGGGGAGCAAACAGGAUUAGAUACCCCCGUAGUC
rnacentral:rRNA from 1 species